CACUGCAGUUUGUCAGAGAUCAGCUGUUCUGCUCUGGCCUCAGCUCUGAAGUCCAACAUCCAUCUGAGAUAUCUGAACCUGUGGAGCAACGGUCUGCAGGAUUCAGAUGUGAAGCUGCUGAGAGAUCUUCUGGAGAGUCCAGACUGCAGACUGGAGACUCUCGGGAUCGGACAUGGACAAGGAGAGACGUUCAGAGCCACGAUCCAGAAGACCUGUGACAGGAAGUGAAGACACACAGAAAGUUUAUUCAUCACGGGGCGAGUUUGAGACGUGAAGAGGAGCGUGGAGGCAUUUUGGAAAAUAAAGAAGAAGGCUGCAGCUGAUGAGAGACUUCCUGUUGGCUCUCCUCAAUAUGAAAUGAACAAAAACAAUCAAUUGUACUUAAAGCUUUUCUUAAGAAGAAAGAUGUGUUGCACAUACACCUGCUGCUACCUACCACCACCUCCCACCCAUCCCGGCCCCAAAGAGGAGACUCCAUCGACCCCAGAUACCCCAACUCACUCUUCUUCAGGUUAGCUUGGAGCCCCGCCUUUACCUGCCCCAACACCUCACUUUGAACGAUGUAGUCAUCCGGAUAUCUGCAUACUGAGAGUGGGACGCAGGAGCCGGUCAAUGAGCUGCUGGAAGGGGGUCCACUGGACUGGAGGGGCUCUUGGAUCUGGUGAUGCCUUGCUCUUCCUGAAAGGGGAGGACACCUAUCUGCCAUAGUUUCUCCACCUGACGACUGAGUUCGGCAUCGGGGGUUCCAGUUGGGGUGAAGAGACUCUGGGGGGCAUCCGAUGGCUCCUGAAUAGGGGGGGCCCUUGGAGUGUCCAACCUAAUGAUAAGAAUAAGAAUAAGAAUAAUGCAUUUUAUUUGUAAAGCACCUUUCAUUGCUAAAAGUCAUCUCAAAGUGCUACAAGGGGCAUCAUAUACUUCUUU